GGGCCUGUAGCUCAGCUGGGAGAGCGCCUGACUGGCAGUCAGGAGGUCAGCGGUUCGAUCCCGCUCAGGUCCACCG
rnacentral:tRNA from 1 species